GACGUAGGGAGCAAGCGUUGUCCGGAAUUACUGGGCGUAAAGCGUGCGUAGGUGGUUCGUUAAGUCUGAUGUGAAAGCCCUGGGCUCAACCUGGGAAUGGCAUUGGAAACUGGCGACCUAGAGUGCGGUAGAGGGUAGUGGAAUUCCCGGUGUAGCAGUGAAAUGCGUAGAGAUCGGGAGGAACAUCCGUGGCGAAGGCGACUACCUGGACCAGCACUGACACUGAGGCACGAAAGCGUGGGGAGCAAACAGG
rnacentral:rRNA from 1 species